rnacentral:rRNA from 1 species
CUCCCUAGUGACCGAUAGUGAACCAGUACCGUGAGGGAAAGGUGAAAAGCACCCCGGAAGGGGAGUGAAAUAGAACCUGAAACCGUGUGCCUACAACAAGUCAAAGCCCGUUAAUGGGUGAUGGCGUGCCUUUUGUAGAAUGAACCGGCGAGUUACGAUUGCAUGCGAGGUUAAGUUGAAGAGACGGAGCCGCAGCGAAAGCGAGUCUGAAUAGGGCGUUUGAGUAUGUAGUCGUAGACCCGAAACCAUGUGAUCUACCCAUGUCCAGGUUGAAGGUGCGGUAAAACGCACUGGAGGACCGAACCCACGUACGUUGAAAAGUGCGGGGAUGAGGUGUGGGUAGCGGAGAAAUUCCAAACGAACUUGGAGAUAGCUGGUUCUCUCCGAAAUAGCUUUAGGGCUAGCCUCGGAAUUGAGAAUGAUGGAGGUAGAGCACUGUUUGGACUAGGGGCCCAUCUCGGGUUACCGAAUUCAGAUAAACUCCGAAUGCCAUUCAUUUAUAUCCGGGAGUCAGACUGCGAGUGAUAAGAUCCGUAGUCGAAAGGGAAACAGCCCAGACCACCAGCUAAGGUCCCAAAAUAUAUGUUAAGUGGAAAAGGAUGUGGGGUUGCACAGACAACUAGGAUGUUGGCUUAGAAGCAGCCACCAUUUAAAGAG